GCCCUUAACCGCUGAGCUAUGUCUCCAGCCCCAUAUUCUUUUUAUUUUUUAUUUUUUUUAUUUAGUAGAAAGAAAACUUGAAAAUAGCCAAGGAUAGCUAGCUGUGUGACCUUAGGCCAACUGGAGGCUUUUGACCUGCUUCCUCCUUUCUGUGAAAUGGAGUGUGUAUCUUCCCAAGAUUGUCAGCGAAUAACUGUCACUAGUGACACUGUAAUGGGGGGGUGAGGGGGACUGGACCUGGCUGGGUGCCUGAACAGGAGUUGGGUGGCGUGAACGCGACAGCGUGGCCUUCUGCUGACAUACGGUACCCGCAGGGUGCACGAAGGAUAAACGUAGGGCUUUCCGGUUUUCACCGUCUUAGUACUGUCCGCCGACGUCCAUUCAGCUGCGCCGCCGCGGACCAAGCGCAGCACCGGCCACCGGGCCAGCCAGGCUCCUCCACGGGCCGCGCGUAAAGGCCGCUCCCAGCCACGGAGAGUCCUAGCCGACUUGGCUCAAAGCAGGCGGUGACCUCGCCUACAACUGCGGCUGUUCGUUUGAAUUCUGGCGCCACUCCCACGCCACGUAGAGCCGAGCGGCCGGACAUACUCGGAAGAGACGGGUGGCAACGUGCCGACGGCGACGCGCGCAAAGGACGAGCACGCGGCGAGCUGGGGGGGCGCGCACCACACCCCAUGAUGGCCCGGAAGAAAAGAGGCGCGCUCCCACGCGUUCCCCAGGGAAAGGCCACGCCCCCACAUGGCUUCACAUCCAAUAGGGGCGAGAGGGAGGGGCAGCCUCGGUCUCGCUCCACGCAGGCUAUAAAGGGAGCUGCAGGCUGCGUGGCUCGUUCUUUUACGUCGGGAAGCUGAGGUUUUUCCUAUGUCUUUUCGUGCUGUUCAGAAGGUGCUAGUGUCGCCCAAGAGACGACUGAUAACGCAUUACUCCUUUCACAGGAACAAUGACGCCAUCGUUUUCUGGGUCUUCGAAGCAGUUGCAAAGAAAUGCCCAGAUGGAGGACAGAGGGCCAAACCACCCCAGUGAAUUCAUAACAGGAGAUAACUUGCUUAAGACCUGACUGUUUUUAAAAGCAGCGAAUGCCAGUGAGUGAAAUGCCAGCUCCCUGUACAGUUACUAGAGCUCCUGGGAAUGCAUGGCCAGUGACACAAGUGAGAAUUGGAUGUUAUGACCGUCCAGAAAAGACAAGAUGAGAAAGUGCAGUAUUGACUGUCUUCAAACGCACCUGUCCUUGCUCAAGUGCUGGGAUUGUGUGCCAACGGCUAUGAUAGAUAUGAAUAGAGCACGAGAUAAUGUGCUUACAGAAAGUUGGUUGAAUUGAAUGCAAUUAAUGUUUGGAGGCACUUAGUCUUCUAGUGUUUGAAUGUGGAUGGAAUUAAAGCUGGGUUUGUAGUGAGCCAUUAGGAUUAUGGCAAAUGUCUAGUGUACAGAAUUCAGUGUAGGCCGGGAGUUGAGACUGGUGUGUGUUUAGUGGAUUAUCUGAUCAGCACAUGUGUGACAGUGUUGAUCACAAGUCAUUGCCAGCUCUGUUCAUUUUCUUCCCUGGUCUAACUCAAUAAUUGCCAUCAUGAAAAUUCUGGGUGACUUUUGUGACUAAAGUCCCAUUGUAAGCCACAUUCUUUGUCCAGCAGUGCUCACUGACUGCUGAAAUAAAUGUUCAUUUGCAACAACCAUUUCUUCAGUUCUUUUUCUUGGUGGGUCAACAGAAACUGACUGCCCCCUUAAUAGUUACAUGGUAUUUUGUCUUCAAGGUAGGUGAGCUAUCCCAACAGAUUCAACAACAAAUAGCGCUAUUGAGCACAAGAAAUCUAGCCUUGCAAGUGCUGGGAUUGAGGGCAUACAACACAUUUGAGAAAAACAUUGUGGUCAACUGGUUUUUGGUUUCAUGGGUUUGUGCUUUGAGAAGGGUCUAAUCCAAAAUGUCUUCUCAGCCCUGUGUCCUAAAAUAGUUAACAUGAAUAUUGAUUCAAGGUAUUGAUGCUUAAGUGAGCUAUCUUAAUUUUUAUGUGGGCAAAAUCUACGUUUUCUCCACCCUUCCAGGAGAUGUCCAAUUUUCCUUCCACACAGUGAAUCUUUAUUGGGAAAGAAGGCUGUGUGAAUGUGCAGUUUCUGGGUUCUUCUGUACCAUUGGCCUAUAUGCCUCAAGCCAGUGCUAUGCUGUUUGGGUGGAAUUAUUUCCAACCUAUAAACCAUUGAAAACGCUUAGCAAUUUGAGGGGUCUUGUAUAAGACCUGCUAACAAUGGCAGCUUAGAAUUCAGAAGCCCUCUUGCCUGGUUCCUGGAAGACUUUUUGCAAGGAGUGGGUCCUAUUUCCUCAGUGUCGGCUGCUGGCGUAUUAUCUGGCCUUUGUUAUCAAUACUGGAUCCUGUCAGAUGACUUCUAUUUUUGAAUCAGCUUAAAUUUUAAAGUAUUUUCUCAUUUUACAUUCUAAUCCCAGUUCCCACUCCCCUCCUGUUCUCCCCACCUUCCAACUAUUCCCCUCAGGAUAAGGCUUCCCAUGGGGAGUUAAAGAGAUUUUUUUUUUUUUCUGAGACAGGCCCUGGCUGUUGUGGAACCCUGUGUAGAACCAGG
rnacentral:lncRNA from 1 species